rnacentral:lncRNA from 1 species
GGGAAAACGAGGGUGCUGCUGGCUGGCUGAGCUGGGUGUCUCUGAACCUUGGACCCGAGGUUCUCUGAUGACAUUCUUUCCAAGCAUGGCCAUUAAAUAGGGAACACCAUAAUUUUCACUUUCUAAACAUUUCUCUACACUUUUAUUUCCUUUUUUUGUUUUCAUUUAUGUAUUCUCCAUGUGGUCUAAGAAGACGUCAUCAAUCUAAACUAUUAGUUUUGCAACAGAAGUUUAAUUUUCCCAGGAAACUUCAGAUGUGCCAAUUCUAAUGGAUACUCAUCAAUCGAAAGAGAAAAGACUUUGCCCCAAAGUCAGAGUGAUAUAGGAGGCUGCACCAUGACCCUAAAUUAGGAGAUUCCUUGGAUUGCCUUGACCCCAGGAGUAAUUUUCCCUGUGAUGUGAUGACUUGCUGAGUCCUAGGGAGGGAACUGAAGUUUGCAGCUGACCCUGGAGGAACCUUUGCCCCUUCCAAUACUCCGCAGGCUGUUGUGCUAUCAGUGUCACCCUUGCUGGGGACACUGCUAUUGGCCAUGUCUCUGUGGAAUGACUGUGUUCUCAGCAUCCACUUCAAUCUUCCCUCCAUCUGAAUCAGAAUGUUCUAGAGAAACACUUGACUCAAUGCUGCCCAUUGUAUUGUUCCAUCUCCAG